rnacentral:rRNA from 1 species
GAUGAACGCUGGCGGCGUGCCUAACACAUGCAAGUCGAACGGAGUCCCGUCUUUUAGACCUUCGGGUCAAUUCGGUGAAGUCUGAGUGGCGGACGGGGAAUUAACCCGUGGGCAACCUGGUUAAUCGAGGGGGAAAACAGCAAGAAAUGUCUGCUAAUACCGCAUAAGCACACACUACCGCAUGCCCAGGGGUGAAAACAGCAUCGCUAUGAGAUGGACCCGCGUCUGAUUAGCCAGUUGGCAGGGUAAGAGCCCACCAAGGCGACGAUCAGUAGCCGAUCUGAGAGGAUGAACGGCCACAUUGGGACUGAGACACGGCCCAAACUCCUACGGGAAGCAGCAGUGGGGGAUAUUGCACAAUGGGGGGAACCCUGAUGCAGCGACGCCGCGUGAGUGAAGAAGUAUUUCGGUAUGUAAAGCUCUAUCAGCAGGGAAGAUAAUGACGGUACCUGAAUAAGAAGCCCCGGCUAACUACGUG